AGUGAACGCUGGCGGUAGGCCUAACACAUGCAAGUCGAACGGCAGCACAGUAAGAGCUUGCUCUUACGGGUGGCGAGUGGCGGACGGGUGAGGAAUACAUCGGAAUCUACUUUUUCGUGGGGGAUAACGUAGGGAAACUUACGCUAAUACCGCAUACGACCUACGGGUGAAAGCAGGGGAUCUUCGGACCUUGCGCGAUUGAAUGAGACGAUGUCGGAUUAGCUAGUUGGCGGGGUAAAGGCCCACCAAGGCGACGAUCCGUAGCUGGUCUGAGAGGAUGAUCGGCCACACUGGAACUGAGACACGGUCCAGACUCCUACGGGAGGCAGCAGUGGGGAAUAUUGGACAAUGGGCGCAAGCCUGAUCCAGCCAUACCGCGUGGGUGAAGAAGGCCUUCGGGUUGUAAAGCCCUUUUGUUGGGAAAGAAAAGCAGCAGGUGAAUACCCCGCUGUUCUGACGGUACCCAAAGAAUAAGCACCGGCUAACUUCGUG
rnacentral:rRNA from 1 species